rnacentral:rRNA from 1 species
GUGUACGCUGGCGGUAGGCCUAACACAUGCAAGUCGAACGGCAGCACAGUAAGAGCUUGCUCUUACGGGUGGCGAGUGGCGGACGGGUGAGGAAUACAUCGGAAUCUACUUUUUCGUGGGGGAUAGCGUAGGGAAACUUACGCUAAUACCGCAUACGACCUACGGGUGAAAGCAGGGGAUCUUCGGACCUUGCGCGAUUGAAUGAGCCGAUGUCGGAUUAGCUAGUUGGCGGGGUAAAGGCCCACCAAGGCGACGAUCCGUAGCUGGUCUGAGAGGAUGAUCAGCCACACUGGAACUGAGACACGGUCCAGACUCCUACGGGAGGCAGCAGUGGGGAAUAUUGGACAAUGGGCGCAAGCCUGAUCCAGCCAUACCGCGUGGGUGAAGAAGGCCUUCGGGUUGUAAAGCCCUUUUGUUGGGAAAGAAAAGCAGCAGGUUAAUACCCCGCUGUUCUGACGGUACCCAAAGAAUAAGCACCGGCUAACUUCGUG